rnacentral:rRNA from 1 species
CGUAGGUAACCUGCCCCGGAGCGGGGGGAUAACAUUUGGAAACAGAUGCUAAUACCGCAUAACAAUAAAAGCCGCAUGGCGUUUUAUUUGAAAGAUGGCUUUGGCUAUCACUCUGGGAUGGACCUGCGGUGCAUUAGCUAGUUGGUAAGGUAACGGCUUACCAAGGCGAUGAUGCAUAGCCGAGUUGAGAGACUGAUCGGCCACAAUGGAACUGAGACACGGUCCAUACUCCUACGGGAGGCAGCAG